AAGCUGAUAAAAAGGGUACUAAUUAACAGACACACAAAGUGUUAUGUACGAUAAAAGGUUAUUUAGGCAAGUCAUGUUUACUGCAUUGCCAAAGCAAAAAGUUCAGAAAAUCUAACGCAAUUCUGUUGAGUAAGUUUCUUCAAGACCUCUUGUUUAUUUGAAUUACUACUCUUAUUUGAAGAAGAAUAAUAACUGUCGACAGACGACAAAAUGAGUAUUUUAAUGUUUAUGUGUUUAGACAGUGGUAGAUGCACCACUUGAUUGUGUAGGACUUAUGGAAUGAGAUUAUUCUGUAGGUGAGAUGUACCAGUGUCCAUUGCUGCUGUGAGUUUUGUUUAUUUAUGAAAAAAAAUCCAAUGGAUUGUGUGCAUUAUUGCCAUAUUAACCAAUAAAUGUCUGUGAUUUACAAUCAUUUCCAAUAUUAAAUGGAAGAAACAUUU
rnacentral:misc_RNA from 1 species